rnacentral:tmRNA from 1 species
GGGGGUGAAAGGGCUCGACUUAGGUUUGUUCGGUAGGAAGAGCAUGUAGAGGUUGCGAGGAAGCCUCUUAAAACACCUUGCAACAAUUAAACGCAGACGAAAGUCUAAUAAGAGAAGCUGAAGCGAUUGUUGCUCCAGUGUUUGAAGCCAAGGCCACCGGAUCAGAGAGCUUGCUUUCUGGUUCGACCGAGGCUUUCGCUGGAUUGGCAGUUGCUCCGGUAACUCCAGCGUUAGCUCUCGCUCCAUAAGCGAGACCUCUUACCUGUCCUGCCUGGGGACAGGAUAAGAGCCGAUUACAGGCUGGCCUUUACAGUUUGCCUUUGGCUGUGAGGGCAAGACCCUAAAAGGAUCGCCUGUGGCAAUCCUGCCUAGCGGAGUGUUACAGGUUAAAUUAAAAGAUAGGCUAAACAUGUAGUGCUUCUUAUUGAAAGACUUAGGGACGCGGCUUCGAUGCCGCCACCUCCACCA